rnacentral:rRNA from 1 species
AGUGAACGCUGGCGGUAGGCCUAACACAUGCCAGUCGAACGGCAGCACAGUAAGAGCUUGCUCUUACGGGUGGCGAGUGGCGGACGGGUGAGGAAUACAUCGGAAUCUACUUUUUCGUGGGGGAUAACGUAGGGAAACUUACGCUAAAACCGCAUACGACCUACGGGUGAAAGCAGGGGAUCUUCGGACCUUGCGCGAUUGAAUGAGCCGAUGUCGGAUUAGCUAGUUGGCGGGGUAAAGGCCCACCAAGGCGACGAUCCGUAGCUGGUCUGAGAGGAUGAUCAGCCACACUGGAACUGAGACACGGUCCAGACUCCUACGGGAGGCAGCAGUGGGGAAUAUUGGACAAUGGGCGCAAGCCUGAUCUAGCCAUACCGCGUGGGUGAAGAAGGCCUUCGGGUUGUAAAGCCCUUUUGUUGGGAAAGAAAAGCAGCAGGUUAAUACCCCGCUGUUCUGACGGUACCCAAAGAAUAAGCACCGGCUAACUUCGUG